GCCUGGACAGCUCAGUCAGUAGAGCAGGAGACUCUUAAUCUCAGGGUUGUGGGUUCGAGCCCCACAUUGGGUA